UACGAAGGGGGCUAGCGUUGUUCGGAAUUACUGGGCGUAAAGGGCGCGUAGGCGGUGUGUCAAGUCAGGCGUGAAAGCCCCGGGCUCAACCUGGGAACCGCGCUUGAGACUGGCACGCUCGAGUCCGGGAGAGGAUGGUGGAAUUCCCAGUGUAGAGGUGAAAUUCGUAGAUAUUCGGAGGAACACCAGUGGCGAAGGCGGCUCACUGGUCCGGUACUGACGCUGAGGUGCGAAAGCGUGGGGAGCAAACAGG
rnacentral:rRNA from 1 species